AACGAACGCUGGCGGUGUGCCUCAUACAUGCAAGUCGUACGCGAAUCCUGCCGCAAGGCAGGGUUUGAGUGGCAAACGGGUGCGUAACACGUAGGUAAUCUUCCUUUGAGUUGGGGAUAAGCCCUCGAAAGGGGGUCUAAUACCGAAUAACACUUCGGGCCGGCAUCGGCCUGAAAUUAAAGAUGGCCUCUGCUUGCAAGCUAUCGCUCGGAGAUGAGCCUGCGGCCGAUUAGUUAGUUGGCGGGAUAAAAGCCCACCAAGACUUCGAUCGGUAGCCGGUCUGAGAGGAUGUCCGGCCACACUGGGGACUGAGAUACGGCCCAGACUCCUACGGGAGGCAGCAGUAGGGAAUAUUGCGCAAUGGCCGCAAGGCUGACGCAGCAACACCGCGUGGGGGA
rnacentral:rRNA from 1 species